AACGAACGCUGGCGGCAGGCUUAACACAUGCAAGUCGAGCGAGAUCUUCGGGUCUAGCGGCGGACGGGUGAGUAACGCGUGGGAACGUGCCCUUUUCUGCGGAAUAGCCUCGGGAAACUGAGAGUAAUACCGCAUACGCCCUAUUGGGGAAAGAUUUAUCGGAGAAGGAUCGGCCCGCGUUGGAUUAGGUAGUUGGUGGGGUAAAGGCCUACCAAGCCGACGAUCCAUAGCUGGUUUGAGAGGAUGAUCAGCCACACUGGGACUGAGACACGGCCCAGACUCCUACGGGAGGCAGCAGUGGGGAAUCUUAGACAAUGGGGGCAACCCUGAUCUAGCCAUGCCGCGUGAGUGAUGAAGGCCUUAGGGUUGUAAAGCUCUUUCAGCUGGGAAGAUAAUGACGGUACCAGCAGAAGAAGCCCCGGCUAACUCCGUGCCAGCCGCCGCCGUAA
rnacentral:rRNA from 1 species